GGCAACCGAGUGGUGGAUCUUGUUGACCCUCAGGCGUGGGACCAUCAGGUCGUAAUUAACAAUCAACUCAGAACUGGAGCGGACAAAGGGAAUCCGACUGUUUAAUUAAAACACAGCAUUGUGAUGGCCGGAAACAGUGUUGACACAAUGUGAUUUCUGCCCAGUGCUAUGAAUGUCAAAGUGAAGAAAUUCAACCAAGCUCUGGUAAACGGCGGGAGUAACUAUGACUCUCUUAAGGUAGCCAAAUGCCUUGUCAUCUAAUUAGUGACGCGCAUGAAUGGAUUAACGAGAUUCCUACUGUCCCUAUCUACUAUCUAGCGAACCCACAGCUAAGGGCAUGGGCUUAGCGAAAUCAGCGGGGAAAGAAGACCCUAUUGAGUUUGACUCUAGUCCGACUUUGUGAAGUAACCUGGCAGGUGUAGUGUAAGUGGGAGCUUUUGCGUCAAUGAAACACCACUACUAUCAGCGUUAUUUUGCUUAUUCCCUCGUGUUGAAUCCUACGUGGUUCUUGAGCUAAGGUCAUUUAUUGGCCGAACUAGGGGGAAGACAUAGUCAGGUGGGAGUUUGGCUGGGGCGGCACAUCCAUUAAAAGGUAACGUGGGUGCCCUAGGUUGAGCUCAAAGAGAACAGAAAUCUCUUGUAGACCGAAAGGGGAAAAGCUCAAUUGAACUUGAUUUUCAGUAAAAAUACAGUAUGCGGAAGCACGGCCUAUUGAUCCUUUGAUUUAGAAUGUUUCUAGCCAGAGGUGACAGAAAAAUUACCAUAGGGAUAACUGGCUUGAGGCAGCCAAGCGUUCAUAGCGACGUUACCGUUUGAUCCUUCGAUGUCGGCUCUUCCUAUCAUCAAGAAGCAGAAUUCUUGAAGUGUNGGAUUGUUCACCCGUUAAUAGGGAACGUGAGCUGGGAUNAGACCGUCGUGAGACAGGUUAGUUUUACCCUACUGAUGAACGAUGUUGCUCAGUAAUUCNACUUNUNCGAGAGGAACAGUUGGGUCAAAUUNUGGGUUAUGCGGUUGGNUGAAAGCCAGGGCGNGGGCUNCCNUUUGUGAUUAUGACNGACNCCUAAGUCANAUCCAUNCGUUUU
rnacentral:rRNA from 1 species